UACGUAGGGGGCAAGCGUUGUCCGGAUUUAUUGGGCGUAAAGAGCGUGUAGGCGGUCAGGUAGGUCCGUUGUGAAAACUCGAGGCUCAACCUCUAGACGCCGAUGGAAACCAUCUGACUAGAGUCCGGAAGAGGAGAGUGGAAUUCCUGGUGUAGCGUUGAAAUGCGCAGAUAUCAGGAAGAACACCCGUGGCUAAGGCGGCUCUCUAGUACGGUACUGACGCUGAGACGCGAAAGCGUGGGGAGCGAACAGG
rnacentral:rRNA from 1 species